AUUGAACGCUGGCGGCAUGCUUUACACAUGCAAGUCGAACGGUAACAGGGAGCUUGCUCCGCUGACGAGUGGCGAACGGGUGAGUAAUAUAUCGGAACGUACCCAAGAGUGGGGGAUAACGUAGCGAAAGUUACGCUAAUACCGCAUACGAUCUAUGGAUGAAAGCAGGGGACCUUCGGGCCUUGUGCUCCUGGAGCGGCCGAUAUCUGAUUAGCUAGUUGGUGAGGUAAAGGCUCACCAAGGCGACGAUCAGUAGCUGGUCUGAGAGGACGACCAGCCACACUGGAACUGGGACACGGUCCAGAAUCCUACGGGAGGCAGCAGUGGGGAAUUUUGGACAAUGGGCGCAAGCCUGAUCCAGCAAUGCCGCGUGAGUGAAGAAGGCCUUCGGGUUGUAAAGCUCUUUUGUCAGGGAAGAAACGGCUGUGGCUAAUAUCCACGGCUAAUGACGGUACCUGAAGAAUAAGCACCGGCUAACUACGUGCCAGCCGCCGCGGUAA
rnacentral:rRNA from 1 species